GUAUGUGUGAGAGAGGUCUCACCCACAGACUCGGCCAAGGGAAGGCGAAUGGCCCCAGGGAAGGUGGUGUUUUGGGGGCUUUCCUGCCAGAGCAGGGCAGGGGCUGGACUGGGGGUGUGUUGGGGUGUUCUGUCACACAGCGAGUGGGUGUCCUCUGCCCAGAUUUAGACUAUGUGGUACCUAUUUUCAGGUGCUUUUGCAGUCACUGGAGGGAAACAUGCACUCCUCGACUAAUUAGAACAGAGUGGCCAACUAAAGUCCUACCCUGUUCCUUCCUCUCAGACCCCAGGCCUCGUUUGUAGCCUGGGUCAGUUGGUGUUUACAGUGCAGACGCCUGUGUUUAGAUUAAUUAAAUGUGCACAUGAGGUGGGCAUGUCAGGGGGAAAAGGUGGGAGGAUGUGGUCCAUGAAAGUGGUGUGGAAUGUCACUUGUAGGAGCCAGGAUGAAAUGAAAAUCUAUGGUUCUUCGUCCAGCAGGUAGUGGAGCAGUAAUUCUCACCUGGCUUUGUUCCAGGAGAGGCUGGAGAAGUUCAGAAGAUGAGUCGAUUGAGAGCUACUACUUAUUUAGAAGCCACAUCUGGUUCAGCAAGUCCUUGAGAUGAACUGGUCACGAGCUGGAGGAUCUUCUGGCCGUUUCUGUACACUUCUGGACACGGGGCUCAACGGAUGCCAGGAGAUAAGAGGCUGAACCCAGUCACCCCAGUGCUCGUGCCAGUUGGGACUGGGCCAGCCACGCCAGAGUGGCUGAAAGAGCAGAGAGUGUUUCUUAGCGAACAGAACACCUGCUGACGCUCUCGGAGGCACCUGGAUUUGGGACAGGGAAGAGGAUUUCCAGAAGUCUCUGAACUUGCCAGAAGCCCUGCGUGGGCUGGAGGAGAUCAGGACAGCAGGCUCCCACCUUCUCAGAACGCGCCGAAGGUCCACAGUAGAAAAAUGAAGAGAAGAUAAGAAGAAAGCACAUUAGGCCCCCAUGUUUGAUGACUUCACAACCACAGUUCUUACCACUUAAUAAAAGAGUUGAGCCUGUUGCCUCUCAGAAGAGGAAGGUCAUGGCAUUCCUUCACCCAGAUGUGGA